GACGAACGCUGGCGGCGUGCUUAACACAUGCAAGUCGAACGGAAAGGCCCUGCUCUUGUGGGGUGCUCGAGUGGCGAACGGGUGAGUAACACGUGAGUAACCUGUCCUUGACUUUGGGAUAACUUCAGGAAACUGGGGCUAAUACCGGAUAGGAGCUCCUGCUGCAUGGUGGGGGUUGGAAAGUUUCGGCGGUUGGGGAUGGACUCGCGGCUUAUCAGCUUGUUGGUGGGGUAGUGGCUUACCAAGGGUUUGACGGGUAGCCGGCCUGAGAGGGUGACCGGCCACAUUGGGACUGAGAUACGGCCCAGACUCCUACGGGAGGCAGCAGGGGGGAAUAUUGCACAAUGGGCGGAAGCCUGAUGCAGCAACGCCGCGUGCGGGAUGACGGCCUUCGGGUUGUAAACCGCUUUCGCCUGUGACGAAGCGUGAGUGACGGUAAUGGGUAAAGAAGCACCGGCUAACUACGUG
rnacentral:rRNA from 1 species